GGGGCUGUAGCUCAGUGGUAGAGCGCUCAUCUAGCACAUGUGAGGCACUGGGUUCAAUCCUCAGUACCA
rnacentral:tRNA from 1 species